rnacentral:rRNA from 1 species
CCUACGGGUGGCAGCAGUGGGGAAUAUUGCACAAUGGGGGAAACCCUGAUGCAGCGACGCCGCGUGAGCGAUGAAGUAUUUCGGUAUGUAAAGCUCUAUCAGCAGGGAAGAAAAUGACGGUACCUGACUAAGAAGCCCCGGCUAACUACGUGCCAGCAGCCGCGGUAAUACGUAGGGGGCAAGCGUUAUCCGGAUUUACUGGGUGUAAAGGGAGCGUAGACGGCGGUGCAAGCCAGAUGUGAAAGCCCGGGGCUCAACCCCGGGACUGCAUUUGGAACUGUGCUGCUAGAGUGUCGGAGAGGCAGGCGGAAUUCCUAGUGUAGCGGUGAAAUGCGUAGAUAUUAGGAGGAACACCAGUGGCGAAGGUGGCUUGCUGGACGAUGACUGACGCUGAGGCUCGAAAGCGUGGGGAGCAAACAGGAUUAGAUACCCUUGUAGUC